rnacentral:rRNA from 1 species
ACGGGUGAGUAACGCGUAGGUAACCUGCCUGGUAGCGGGGGAUAACUAUUGGAAACGAUAGCUAAUACCGCAUAAUAGUAGAUGUUGCAUAACAUUUGCUUAAAAGGUGCAAUUGCAUCACUACCAGAUGGACCUGCGUUGUAUUAGCUAGUUGGUGGGGUAACGGCUCACCAAGGCAACGAUACAUAGCCGACCUGAGAGGGUGAUCGGCCACACUGGGACUGAGACACGGC